rnacentral:rRNA from 1 species
GGCGGCGUGCUUAACACAUGCAAGUCGAACGAAGAGCGAUGGAAGCUUGCUUCUAUCAAUCUUAGUGGCGAACGGGUGAGUAACGCGUAAUCAACCUGCCCUUCAGAGGGGGACAACAGUUGGAAACGACUGCUAAUACCGCAUACGAUCUAGCCUUGGCAUCGAGGAUGGAUGAAAGGUGGCCUCUAUUUAUAAGCUAUCACUGAAGGAGGGGAUUGCGUCUGAUUAGCUAGUUGGAGGGGUAACGGCCCACCAAGGCGAUGAUCAGUAGCCGGUCUGAGAGGAUGAACGGCCACAUUGGGACUGAGACACGGCCCAGGCUCCUACGGGAGGCAGCAGUGGGGAAUCUUCCGCAAUGGACGAAAGUCUGACGGAGCAACGCCGCGUGAGUGAUGACGGCCUUCGGGUUGUAAAGCUCUGUUAAUCGGGACGAAAGGCCUUCUUGCGAACAGUUAGAAGGAUUGACGGUACCGGAAUAGAAAGCCACGGCUAACUACGUGCCAGCAGCCGCGGUAAUACGUAGGUGGCAAGCGUUGUCCGGAAUUAUUGGGCGUAAAGCGCGCGCAGGCGGAUCAGUCAUUCUGUCUUAAAAGUUCGGGGCUUAACCCCGUGAUGGGAUGGAAACUGCUGAUCUAGAGUAUUGGAGAGGAAAGUGGAAUUCCUAGUGUAGCGGUGAAAUGCGUAGAUAUUAGGAAGAACACCAGUGGCGAAGGCGACUUUCUGGACGAAAACUGACGCUGAGGCGCGAAAGCCAGGGGAGCGAACGGGAUUAGAUACCCCGGUAGUCCUGGCCGUAAACGAUGGGUACUAGGUGUAGGAGGUAUCGACUCCUUCUGUGCCGGAGUUAACGCAAUAAGUACCCCGCCUGGGGAGUACGA